rnacentral:rRNA from 1 species
CUGGCGCGUGCCUAAUACAUGCAAGUCGAACGCACUCUCGUUUAGAUUGAAGGAGCUUGCUCCUGAUUGAUAACAUUUGAGUGAGUGGCGGACGGGUGAGUAACACGUGGGUAACCUGCCCUAAAGUGGGGGAUAACAUUUGGAAACAGAUGCUAAUACCGCAUAAAACCUAACACCGCAUGGUGUAGGGUUGAAAGAUGGUUUCGGCUAUCACUUUAGGAUGGACCCGCGGUGCAUUAGUUAGUUGGUGAGGUAAAGGCUCACCAAGACCGUGAUGCAUAGCCGACCUGAGAGGUAAUCGGCCACACUGGGACUGAGACACGGCCCAGACUCCUACGGGAGGCAGCAGUAGGGAAUCUUCCACAAUGGACGAAAGUCUGAUGGAGCAACGCCGCGUGAGUGAAGAAGGUUUUCGGAUCGUAAAACUCUGUUGUUGGAGAAGAAUGUAUCUGAUAGUAACUGAUCAGGUAGUGACGGUAUCCAACCAGAAAGCCACGGCUAACUACGUG